rnacentral:SRP_RNA from 1 species
GACUGGGCCCUGUGCAACAGGAGCUUAUUGAACCCCGCCAGGUCCGGAAGGAAGCAACGGUAAAUAGGUCUUCCUGUGUGCCGCAGGAUCUCCUGGUCUCU